AUGAACGCUGGCGGCGUGCCUAAUACAUGCAAGUCGAGCGAACAGACGAGGAGCUUGCUCCUCUGACGUUAGCGGCGGACGGGUGAGUAACACGUGGAUAACCUACCUAUAAGACUGGAUAACUUCGGGAAACCGGAGCUAAUACCGGAUAAUAUAUUGAACCGCAUGGUUCAAUAGUGAAAGACGGUUUUGCUGUCACUUAUAGAUGGAUCCGCGCCGCAUUAGCUAGUUGGUAAGGUAACGGCUUACCAAGGCAACGAUGCGUAGCCGACCUGAGAGGGUGAUCGGCCACACUGGAACUGAGACACGGUCCAGACUCCUACGGGAGGCAGCAGUAGGGAAUCUUCCGCAAUGGGCGAAAGCCUGACGGAGCAACGCCGCGUGAGUGAUGAAGGUCUUCGGAUCGUAAAACUCUGUUAUUAGGGAAGAACAAAUGUGUAAGUAACUAUGCACGUCUUGACGGUACCUAAUCAGAAAGCCACGGCUAACUACGUG
rnacentral:rRNA from 1 species